CAGCCGCCGCGGGAAUACAGAGGGUGCGAGCGUUAAUCGGAAUUACUGGGCGUAAAGGGCGCGUAGGCGGUUAGGAAGGUGUGAUGUGAAAGCCCUGGGCUUAACCUAGGAAGUGCAUCGCAAACCAACUAGCUGGAGUAUAAGAGAGGGUGGCGGAAUUUCCGGUGUAGCGGUGAAAUGCGUAGAUAUCGGAAGGAACACCUGUGGCGAAAGCGGCUCACUGGACCAUUUCUGACGCUGAUGCACGAAAGCUAGGGGAGCAAACAGGAUUAGAGACCCCCGUAGUCCCUGUCUCUUAUAC
rnacentral:rRNA from 1 species